GACGAACGCUGGCGGCGCGCCUAACACAUGCAAGUCGAACGAGCGAGGGAGAGCUUGCUUUCUCAAGCGAGUGGCGAACGGGUGAGUAACGCGUGAGGAACCUGCCUCAAAGAGGGGGACAACAGUUGGAAACGACUGCUAAUACCGCAUAAGCCCACGACCCGGCAUCGGGUAGAGGGCAAAGGAGCAAUCCGCUUUGAGAUGGCCUCGCGUCCGAUUAGCUAGUUGGUGAGGUAACGGCCCACCAAGGCGACGAUCGGUAGCCGGACUGAGAGGUUGAACGGCCACAUUGGGACUGAGACACGGCCCAGACUCCUACGGGAGGCAGCAGUGGGGAAUAUUGCACAAUGGGGGAAACCCUGAUGCAGCGACGCCGCGUGGAGGAAGAAGGUCUUCGGAUUGUAAACUCCUGUUGUUGAGGAAGAUAAUGACGGUACUCAACAAGGAAGUGACGGCUAACUACGUG
rnacentral:rRNA from 1 species